rnacentral:rRNA from 1 species
GAUGAACGCUGGCGGCGUGCCUAAUACAUGCAAGUCGAGCGAACAGACGAGGAGCUUGCUCCUCUGACGUUAGCGGCGGACGGGUGAGUAACACGUGGAUAACCUACCUAUAAGACUGGGGUAACUUCGGGAAACCGGAGCUAAUACCGGAUAAUAUAUUGAACCGCAUGGUUCAAUAGUGAAAGACGGUUUUGCUGUCACUUAUAGAUGGAUCCGCGCCGCAUUAGCUAGUUGGUAAGGUAACGGCUUACCAAGGCAACGAUGCGUAGCCGACCUGAGAGGGUGGUCGGCCACCCUGGAACUGAGACACGGUCCAGACUCCUACGGGAGGCAGCAGUAGGGAAUCUUCCGCAAUGGGCGAAAGCCUGACGGAGCAACGCCGCGUGAGUGAUGAAGGUCUUCGGAUCGUAAAACUCUGUUAUUAGGGAAGAACAAAUGUGUAAGUAACUAUGCACGUCUUGACGGUACCUAAUCAGAAAGCCACGGCUAACUACGUG